GAUAUUAUUAAAAAAAAAAAAAUCCUAAAUUUAUUUUUGUAAGAAAAAAAAAUGUGUGUAUAUAUAUAUAUAUAUAUAUAUUUAAAAGGAAAAAAAAAAACAAAAAAAAACAAAACCAACGUAGGCAGAAUCCGAGUUCUAUUUCAUGGAGUAAUAAAGGCUGAAAGGUGUCCAGUGAGAGGAACGAUGCUAAUUAGGUUCUGUGACAGCCCUGAAAAGCCGACCCUUGGGAGUCGUUGCACUUCACCAAACGGAAGCUUGAAUUUUAGGCAGGAAUCGUGGGUUUUGUUUCAUUUUUGUCUAUCGUUCAUUUCUGCCCCCCUUCCCCCCCCCGCCCCCCCCCCUCAACCACCCCCCUUCUUUUUUCUUUUUUGCUUUUUUUUUAAUUUUUAUUAUUAUUAUCCUUUUUUUUUUUUUCUUUUUUUUUUUUUCUGUUGUUGCUUCUUCUUCAAUGUUCCAUAGCCAGUGCUGGGCCAGACGUGCAUCCCCCACUGCCCCCCUUGUUGUGCUGUGGGGCCGGAACCGGAGGCCUGGUGUCACUGGGACCAGUGCUGUGGGCCUGGCACCAUUGGGCCCGGUGCUGUUGGGCCCAGAACCACCAACCCAAUGCCACCAGGCCCGGUAUUUUGGGCCUCGUGCCAUUGGGCCCAGCUCUUAGGCCCGGUGCCACUGGGCCUGGUGCCAUGAACCUCUGGGCCCGGUGCUGUCAGCCCAGUGUCACCAGAGCAGUGCUGUGGGCCCGGUGCCGUAGGCCCAGUAUUUCAGGCCUCUGGGUGCCGCUGGGCCCGGUUCUGUUGGGCCUGGCCCUGUAGGCCCGGUGCUGUAGGCCUCUGGGCCUGGUCCUGUGGGCCCAGCGCUGUUGGAUCCGGUGCUGUAGGCCCAACGCUGCUGAGCCCAGCACUGUGGGUCUGAUCUGGGCCCAGUGCUGUUGUGUUCGGAACCGUUGGCCCGGUACCAGCAGGACCAGCACUGCGGAGCUGGCUCUGUUGGGCCCGGUGCUGCAGGCUCAGUGCUGUUGGGCCUGCGGUGCCAUUGGCCUCUGGGCCUGGUCCUAUGGGCCCGGUGCUGUUGGGCCUGGCACCACUGGGCCUGGUACCAUUGGCCUGGUACCAUUGGGCCUGGUUCCACUGGGCCUGGUUCCUCUGGACCUGGCACCAUUGGCCUGGUUCCAUUGGGCCUGGUUCCAUUGGGCCUGGUUCUUCUGGAUCUGGCACUGUUGGUCUGGUUCCGUUGGGCCUGGUUCCACUGGGCCUGGUUCCACUGGGCCUGGUUCCGUGGGCCUGGCACCACUGGACCUGGCACCACUGGGCCUGGUUCCAUUGGGCCUGGCACCACUGGCCCGGUACCACUGGCCCGGUGCCGUCUGCAUGCUGCAGCCUUUGGCCCAUUGCUGCCCCAGGCCCAGCAGCACGCAGGCCAUGGCGGGGGCUGCCAGCCCUAUCUCUGCCCGAGGGCCACGUCUGGUGCAGCAGAUAACGCCACCCCCCUCCCCCCAACAAACCCAGCGCCCUGCAUGGCGCAGGGUCCCCCCCCUUCAUCCCCCCCCCCGUCCCCACGAUGGCAGCGAGUGCCUUGGCUGGACGUCCCCGCAAAGGGACGGGGACGCAGGGCCGACCCUCUGCUCAGUGCUGGCAUAUGCAAAAACUCGCGCGGACGUGUAAAUAGAGUUACUUGAGGUUCUUGUAAUCGAGUCGUGGUAUCUCUUUUCUAGUUUGUGUCACUGCUCCUCUUUGUCCCCCACCUCUCCUCGGCCCCAAAGGAACAUUGCGACGAAACAAAGCCCCCAACGCCCUCCUCCCCCCCACCCCAAAGGCAAAAAAAGGAGGAAAACAAAACAAAACAAAAAGGAGAAAACGAUAAAAAGCGAAAGGAGCAGAGAGAGGUCGCGUGUAUCUGUGUGCGUGUGUGAGUGUGUGUGAGUGUGAGUGUGUGUGUGUUAGACUCAGGAUGCCCCACGGAUGGACUGACGGACACUACGCCGACCGCGCCGCCGGACGGACGCACCGUUUGCUGGCAACACUUUAGCACAAGUUGGAAGUUUGCACUAAAAUAAUAAUAAUAAAAAAAAAACAGCGGGGCA
rnacentral:lncRNA from 1 species